UUGAAAAAACAGGACAAAAAAAUUAAACUGUAAUUAAGAAGUGAGUAGAAUUUCCUCAUUUACUUUUGCAAUUAGUAAUGGAGCAGUAAAAGAAAUUUUCGUAAUAAAAGAGAAUUUUUGUUGGUUAAAAUCGCUGAUGGUGCUUCAACGGAGAAGUAUGAUGACACAAGAUUGGUGUAGAAAUUUAUGUUAUGGAGUAGAGAUUUAAAUUUCAAGAUUUCAAAAUCUUGAAAUUUCAUUCUAUUAUUGGAGGAUACCCAACCUUCUGUUUUGGUUUAGCUGACAUAUCAGUUGUACAGGUUGAUGCUAAGAGGGCCUUGUCAAGAGAGGAGCAGCAAGGCUCAAAGCCUGGAAAUACAAAUAGUGCCAGAAAUUUUGGAGGUGAUGGAGCUCCUAGUGGUAAUUCACCUGUUGGAGGUUGUGCUGCAGGAGACAUGCAAUCAGGUGCUGGUGUUUACAUGAACAGUGGCUAUGGUGAUGCCAGUGGAAACUCUAGCUAUGGGAAUUCAGCAUGGAGAUCUGAUAACUCGCAAGGUUCUGGUAAUUAUGGUGCUCCACCAAAUGGAGCUCAUGGUGGCCAAGUUGGAUAUGGUGGUGGGUAUGGAGGUGCCCCCAGUCGGCAAGCUCAACAGCAGUGAAUGAGAUGAUUCGUGUUGUCUCGGACUUCACCUCUUUUACUGGAGAGUUUUGCGUCACUUUUGCGUUUCACAUGCAGAGUGCUGCUCUUGCGAGAUGUCACCUGCUAAAUGAGAUUGGUUGGAUUGCUUGAAUCCCUAGUAGUUUGCAGUACUUAUUUUCUAGUUCAUAAUAACUAGUAUUGUCACUAGUAUUACCUAUUUCGUGUUAUUGUUGUUAAGUGCAGUCUUAAUCUCGCUUGCUUAUGGUUAUUUUAUAAGUUAAUGUGGUUCAUUUGCUUUCAUAGUCCACAGAUAUAUUGGCUUGUGUUAAACUUGCGUGAAUUUACUUUUUGGUUGAGCCAUCUGUUGUGGAGUUAGAAUUUGAAGUGGAUUUUGACCUCUGCCUUCUGAAGCAGCAGGAUGGUUUGGUGCUAUUUUACCUAUCACUUAACAGAAAAAGUUAAUAAGAAGAAUAGAACACUUUCUAUUUUUCUUUGCGUGAUGUAGUCGGACCAUGAGAUUUGGUGGUGCUACUUACUCAUAGGAGAGCAGCUGUAGCGGACUUGGUAGAUCAGAGGAGAGGCCUGAAUACUGAAUGUGAUGAACAGUCCACUCGGAGAUAAAUACGACCUUGGGUGCUGGAGAUGUUUAGUAAAGAAAGGUACCUUACUGUGGAUUUGGCUUUGUUUGAUGGGGUAUUGUCCUGAAAGUUUUCGUGGUGAAGCAGACCAAGGCCAAGCAGGCGCUGCUGAGUUGAAUUCUGUGCAGGGUCGUGACCAACAGCCACCCACUUUGGUAUAUAUUGUACCCAACUGCUGUUGAGUGUUGUAUUGGUUCUUUUGGAGCUGGAGAGUUAGACUUUUAGUGUCUCAAUAAUUUGAUUAGGUACUUUGACAAUUUAACUAGCAGAAUUCUUCUUUAGGUUUGGAACAGUUUUUGUCAAUGCAGUGGAUUCUUUUCUCAGGAUGGUUGUUAGAAAUUAAAACGGUUUGGUAGAUCACUGGUGUAAGAUGAUUUGGCUUACCAGUUUCUGCCAUGUUUAUCC